rnacentral:misc_RNA from 1 species
CAACCCUUAAGCCCCUGUUGCUUAGCGUUGGGAGCCUACAGCACUCGCUGUAGCUCCUUAAAAUUAGUGGCGGAGUCGGUUCACACUCUAGACGUAGUACUCUUUACCUCGCCUGUAGUGAGACCGGUCCCCUGCCAUAAAACCCCCCAAUUUUUAAAA